CCGCCAGGCUCCCCACCAGCUCCGGAGGUGGUAGCGGUGCAGACCGAGUGAGCUGCGGUGGGGCCAGGGCGGAAGCCGAGUCUGCCGCGGACUCCGCAAUCCCGCAGCCGGCGACUGGAGCCCACCUCUGCAGAGACAAAGAUGCCCAAGGAUUCAGCAAACGCCGGGGAAGCAGAGAACACAACAAGCUUGGAUGUGAAAUAGCACUGCCUUUUGUAUUGGAGAAGAAAACAAUAUUUUAAAUUACACAAGCAGAUGGGGCUUGUGAAGACUUCACACUGGUAUACUGGUGUGUGUGUGUGUGUGUGUGUGUGUAUGGAAUUGAGCAAAGAACUUGUUCAAUUCCAAAAUUUUCUGAGAAGUAAUCGCAAUGGUCAAUUUGCCUCAUUAUCCUCUCCCUGUCUUACCAAAUAAAAGCAGAGCUUUACUACUCUCCUUUUCAGCUUGGGGAAUGAGGGCCGUGAAGAGACUUUGCACUGAAAAAGCAGCCAUAUUUGCAUUUACUCCACUUGUGUAGAGGUCAAUGUCACAGCCAUCAUUUCUUUCCAGUAUGGAAAGCCAGGUGGUGCUUUCCUUCUGACCUGGCCAGUGACAAUAUUUCUGUGGCCCAGGAAGCCACAGGCAAACGGCCCAAAAAAACGCGACGGGGUGACCCUGGCCCAGAACUAUAGGAUUCCAUUUUCUUACCUAUGUAAUAAAAGCAACUCUGGAAAUAAAAAUGUACCCCUCUGAAAACAACAUGGUUAGAGAAAGCAGAGAGCUUUUUGAUGAUCACCUAAUAAAGGUGCUUUCCCUUUUUCGGGAAUGUUACUUUACUUGAAUUUCUCCUCUAUUUUCCCGGCUCCUCUUCCUUGCCCGCCCCCCACUUUCCCCUGUAAAAUGGCAGCUGGAGGAGCAGCCUCCAAGGGAAAAUGGAUCUCUCGUUAAUAACAGAUGCCAAAACCCAGUAUCAACACUGGCUCAGUGGAAUAAGCUGUGGUGUAACCUGGACUCUGGGUCGUCUCCCACUGGGCCUACAACUUGAGUCCUUUAAGAGGUUCAAAGCUCUCAGAGUAUCUUAGCAAGAUUAUUUAGAGCAACAUAGACUAGCCAGCCCUCUCACGAAAGAGAAGGGGCCCCCCCGCAGGAUUUUUUUUUAACAGCUCGAGAUGUGUGUAACUCCACCCCUUUCUUAUUAAACAGAAGCCUAGUGACUCAGAGAAAACGGGUAUUUGCGGCGCUCAAAGACACUAACUCUAGAAAGACAUUCAUUUCUUUAUUAAGGAGCUAGAGACAUUCUGGAGUGGUUGUUUACACUCAGAUUUUUCUGCGUUUGCUCUCAGGGCUUGUUUCAAAUAGGUGAGGCUAUUGCUUUUCUGAAGAACAGCAGAGGAUGUACCAACCGAUGUCGAACACAGCAAGCUGGUUUAAAACUAGCAGGCAAACAGAGCAAAGGCAA